rnacentral:snRNA from 1 species
GGAUAUGAGGGCAAUCUGGCUGUGAUACCUAUUACUUCACUGAUUAUAGGGUAGAUUCAUCUGUUCUGGUUUGGCCUUGUGAUGUUUCUUCCCUAUCUCAGUGCUCCAUGUGUGUCCCCUCAAAAGAAUACACUUGAUUAGAGGAGAUAACUUUCUGGGAAAAGAUGAACCCAUCUUUGUGGAAAAUAUAGGGGUAGCUACACUCUUCUAGUAUAACUUCCAAGAAAGUUCUCAAAAAUGGGCAUUUAUUGGUAAAAUGGCUGGAGUACAGCACUUUUAGAAAGAGGUAAACAUUAAUGCUCAAAUAAUAUAUAAAGAAUUUGGUAGUUGUAGCCUUUUUCUCU